GUUAAGUUAGUUUAUAAAAAUACCAGCUUGUGGAUUUGGAGAUAAGAGUUGUUCUUACUUAACC
rnacentral:tRNA from 1 species